UACCUGGUUGAUCCUGCCAGUAGUCAUAUGCUUGUCUCAAAGAUUAAGCCAUGCAUGUCUAAGUAUAAGUUUUUUACUGCGAAACUGUGAAUGGCUCAUUAUAACAGUUAUUAUUUCCUAGCCGGUCAGUUAUUCCUUGGAUACCCAUGGUAAUUCUAGAGCUAAUACAUGCUUACAGACCCAACUUCACGGAAGGGUUGCGCUUAUUAGAUACCGAACCAACCCCGCAAGGGAUUUAGUUGAUUCAUAGUGUUCUGGCGAAUCGACUUUUAGUCGAUGAGGCUAUCAAGUUUCUGACCUAUCAGCUUCCGACGGUAGGGUAUUGGCCUACCGUGGCUUUGACGGGUAACGGAGAAUUAGGGUUCGAUUCCGGAGAGGGAGCCUGAGAAACGGCUACCACAUCUAAGGAAGGCAGCAGGCGCGUAAAUUACCCAAUCCUGACACAGGGAGGUAGUGACAAGAAAUAUCAAUAUAAGACUUUUGUGUCUUGUAAUUGGGAUGAGCGGAACUUAAAUCGCUUCUCGAGUAUCAAUUGGAGGGCAAGUCUGGUGCCAGCAGCCGCGGUAAUUCCAGCUCCAAUAGC
rnacentral:rRNA from 1 species